AGGGGAGCAGCAGGCGCGAAACCUUUACAAUGCACGAAAGUGUGAUAGGGGAAUUCAGAGUGCUUACACACAGUGUAGGCUUUUGCCAAGAGUAAAUAUCUUGGAGAAUAAGUGGUGGGUAAGACUGGUGCCAGCCGCCGCGGUAACACCAGCGCCACAAGUGGGGAUCGAUUUUAUUGGGCUUAAAGCGUUCGUAGCUGGUCUUGUAAAUCUUUUGUGAAAUCGUUGCCCUCAAUGCAACGACGUGCGGAGGACACUGCAAGACUUGGAACCGGGAGGGGUCAGAAGUAUGCCAGGGGGAGCGGUAAAAUGUUAUAAUCCCUGGUAGACUACCUUUGGCGAAGGCGUCUGACUAGAACGGGUUCGACAGUGAGGAACGAAAGCUGGGGGAGCGAUCCGGAUUAGAUACCCGAGUAGUCCCAGCCGUAAACGCUGUGAACUAGAUGUCGCGUAUUCUUCGUGAAUAUGCGGUGUCGAAGCGAAAGUGUUAAGUUCACCGCCUGGGAAGUAUAGUCGNAAGACCGAAACUUAAAGGAAUGGGCGG
rnacentral:rRNA from 1 species